rnacentral:rRNA from 1 species
AAGUCGUAACAAGGUUUCCGUAGGUGAACCUGCGGAAGGAUCAUUAUAGAGUUCGGGUCCUCACGGGCCUAACCUCCAACCCUUUGUCUACCAAACCUCACGUUGCUUCGGCAGGUCUGUCUUUCAGACUGCCGGGGUUUCCACCCCUGGCUCGUACCCGCCGGUGGCCAACUCAACCAAAACUCUUUUAAAUAAAUCGCGUCUGAAUACUUAAAAAAGUAAUAACUAUAAAACUUUCAACAACGGAUCUCUUGGUUCUGGCAUCGAUGAAGAACGCAGCGAAAUGCGAUAAGUAAUGCGAAUUGCAGAAUCCGUGAGUCAUCGAAUCUUUGAACGCAUAUUGCGCCCCUUGGUAUUCCGAGGGGCAUGCCUGUUCGAGCGUCAUUAUCACCCUCAAGCCUAGCUUGGUGUUGGACUUCACCGUACUUUGGUUAUGGUUGGUCUCAAAAAUAGUGACGGCGUCCUAGAAGGAAUCGGUACGAGGAGCUUUUAACCGAGCAUGUACACGGUAGGAUUCUACGGGCGACGGUCUUUUAUUAUUAUAGUGUUGACCUCGGAUCAGGUAGGAAUACCCGCUGAACUUAA